CUAUAAUGCAGUCGAGCGGACAGAUGGGAGCUUGCUCCCUGAUGUUAGCGGCGGACGGGUGAGUAACACGUGGGUAACCUGCCUGUAAGACUGGGAUAACUCCGGGAAACCGGGGCUAAUACCGGAUGGUUGUUUGAACCGCAUGGUUCAAACAUAAAAGGUGGCUUCGGCUACCACUUACAGAUGGACCCGCGGCGCAUUAGCUAGUUGGUGAGGUAACGGCUCACCAAGGCAACGAUGCGUAGCCGACCUGAGAGGGUGAUCGGCCACACUGGGACUGAGACACGGCCCAGACUCCUACGGGAGGCAGCAGUAGGGAAUCUUCCGCAAUGGACGAAAGUCUGACGGAGCAACGCCGCGUGAGUGAUGAAGGUUUUCGGAUCGUAAAGCUCUGUUGUUAGGGAAGAACAAGUACCGUUCGAAUAGGGCGGUACCUUGACGGUACCUAACCAGAAAGCCACGGCUAACUACGUGCCAGCAGCCGCGGUAAUACGUAGGUGGCAAGCGUUGUCCGGAAUUAUUGGGCGUAAAGGGCUCGCAGGCGGUUUCUUAAGUCUGAUGUGAAAGCCCCCGGCUCAACCGGGGAGGGUCAUUGGAAACUGGGGAACUUGAGUGCAGAAGAGGAGAGUGGAAUUCCACGUGUAGCGGUGAAAUGCGUAGAGAUGUGGAGGAACACCAGUGGCGAAGGCGACUCUCUGGUCUGUAACUGACGCUGAGGA
rnacentral:rRNA from 1 species